rnacentral:rRNA from 1 species
GUGCAGCAGUCGCGAAACUUCACACUGUGCGAAAGCACGAUGAGGGAAUCCCAAGUGCUUGCACGUAAGUGUAAGCUGUUUCUCUGUCUAAAACGCAGAGAGAGUAAGGGCUGGGUAAGACGGGUGCCAGCCGCCGCGGUAAUACCUGCAGCUCAAGUGGUGACCGUUAUUAUUGGGCCUAAAACGUCCGUAGCCGGUUUAAUAAAUGCCUGGGUAAAUUGUGUAGCUUAACUAUACGAAUUCCGGGUAGACUGUUAAACUUGAGACCGGGAGAAGUUAGAGGUACUCCUGGGGUAGAGGUGAAAAUUCUGUAAUCCUAGGGGGACCACCAGUGGCGAAGGCGUCCAACUAGAACGGGUCUGACGGUGAGGGACGAAGCCCUGGGGCGCAAAACGGGGAUUAGAUACCCCGGUAGU